AUGAUUUCAAAACACUUGUAGGAGUAAGUCAUGUCUUGUGGGCGUCAUUUGUGAUCUUCUUGCUCCUGAAUAUUAAUGAUAAUCUUGGUGGUUGAAACAGAGCUUCAAGUUAUUAUGAAAAAAAUGGCUAUGGAAAUCUCAUACACCUGGGGCAUUUGUAGCUGUAGGGGCUGCUUUAUUGGUUGAAGCUGCAGUAUGGGUGAUCCAGAU